rnacentral:tRNA from 2 species
GCCCGGAUGGCGGAAUUGGUAGACGCGUCAGGUUCAGGUCCUGGUAGUGGCAACACUGUGGAGGUUCGAGUCCUCUUUCGGGCACCA